UAAUAAAAAUAAAAAUAAAAGUAUUAAUAUAAGGUCAGUGAGAAACGCUUUAUUCAUUAAAAGUAAUAACGAAGUAUUCGGAAUGAAUAAAAAUAUAUCAAGAAAAUCUAGAAUCAAUUUUCAUUUACUAUAUAAUAUUGAAAUGGAAGAAAAUAGUAAUACCAAUAAUGUUUCUUCUUUAAAUGAUGACGCAUACAUUAAUCAUGGUAAUAUGUCAGAUUUCAAUGGUAAUACACAUUUAGAUUUACAAAAUAAAAACAUAAACAACGACAUGUAUGCUUAUAAUAGUAGCAAUGAAAAAAGAGGGGGGAACACACAUAAUAAUAAUACUUUAAAAAUUUUAAAUAAACAAGUGGCAACUUCUAUAAAAAAUGAGAAUAAAUUAUUAUUUAUAUAUGGUGAACAAUAUAGUAAUCAAUACGAAAUAAAUGCAUACGUAUUAAAACAUAUGAUAAAAAAAAGCAAUAACAAAGAGUUAUAUUAUAUGUAUAAGAGCAUGAUAAAGGUUCUUAAUUUAUUUUAUAAUUAUAAAAUUUAUAAUUUUAUAAUGUAUAUGUCUGAUGACAAUGAAAUAAUAUAUUUUUCUAUCAUCCCUUGUUGUUUUAUAGACACAUGUAAUGUAACAAAUAUCUGUACAAAAUUAACUGAUGUUUACAGACGUUUGAAUAUACGCACUAUGCAUAAGGUUUCAAAAACUGGUAGUGGUGGUAGUAGCAGUGGUAGUGGCGGUGGUAGUGGUAGUGGUAGUGGUAAUGGCAGUGGUAGUGGCGGUGGUAGUGGUAGUGGUAAUGGCAGUGGCGGUGGUAGUGGCAGCCGUAAAAGCAGCCGUAGUGAUAAAAAAAAGAAAAAAACAGUUUAUGACAAUAUAUUUAAAAGUAAAUUUAUUAAUAUUCCUUACAUUUUUCUUUUUCUUUUAAAAAGUGCUUUAAUAAAUAGUUCAAAUGAAUUUUAUAAAGAUUUAAAGUUGCAUCCAUUGGAUGUUGCAAAAAUAUAUAGGAAUUAUAUACAUAACCCAUGUAUAAAUGAUAAUAUUAAAAAUUCAGAAAUAAAAAAAACAUUUGAUAAUUUUUUAAGAGUAGGUUUUACGAAUGAAGAUAUAAAAAGCAUAACUCGGAUAGUAUUGGCUAUUAUAUAUAUAAAUGUGUAUAUAAAUAUAAGAACAUGCUUAAAUAUAAAUAAAAAAAAAACGUUACGUAUUUUGGAUAUAGAAUUAAUGCCAAUAGAAGAUUAUUUAAAAAUAAGAAAUGCAUAUGAAAUAUACGAAAGUGAGAAUAGCGCAUCAGGUAAUAAAACUGGCCAUGUAUAUAAUUUAUUAAAUUUUGAUUGUGACGAUUUUAUGAGUGAUGAGUUAAGUCCAGUUUUUAUGGAAGAAACAGAUGAUUCAGGUGACUGUAAUAAAACAGUCGCGAAAAAGAAAAAUAGUCAUAACAACAAGAAUUAUAACACAUCGAAUAAAAAAGAAAAUCUGAAAACAAAAAACAAAAAACAUGAGUAUAAAACUGUAAAAAACAAGAAAGGCAUUUCUACAUGUUUUAUUGUUUUCGCUGGUCACAUUUUGGAAGAUUAUAUAUCGUACUUAUUAGAUAUAAAUUUACAUAUAUUUUUAACUAUUUUAAACAAUACAGUAAAAUUAAAAAAUUUGUGUAC
rnacentral:lncRNA from 1 species